GGGAGAGCGAGCGUUGCUCGCGGUUCGUUCAUUACACUUUGGACUGGAAGCCAGCCACAUCGCGUCCGCUUCAUUUCUUUUCAUCUCCUCUUGCAGAAUGCCUACUCCAGCAAAGUUAUCAGUCGGCUCGGGAAAAAUAAAUCAAGGGGUGACACUAUUCCGGACUGUAGUGUUGUUUGUGAAUCUGUUGUCUGCAGUGCCUGCAAAUCCCCAACUGUGAUUGCCAUGAUCCUCAAAAGUGAUGUAGGAUGCAAGACAGACCUAACCCACUUUCGUGAAAAAGCAAAUCCUGGCCGAACCACUGCUUUUUCCGACACACACAGAGACGCAUUCAUGUGACGAACACAAGCCGACUCCGCCCCCUCCUGAAGACAGCGUUGCCAAUUAUUGCUGCUUCAUCGAGUCUGGCCAUAGUCGGAUCUGAUGAGACCGGGGCAUGAACCCCGGUCCCCAGUGGGCAACUGCAUUAACACAAAGCCGAUGCUUAGACCGCUACACCACUGCGGACCCCUAGGUUUUUCAACUGUGUGAGCCUUAUGCCACCUGUGGCUAUUUGUCUG